CUGCAUAGACUGAGGAAGCAAAUUACUAUUUCUUGAGGGAAGGGAAACGAUUUUUUUUUUUUAAUCGAACACCUACGAGUAUGCAGAGAUCUUUAACUCCAGAAGAGGCUGACAAAAUUCUAGCUUUAUCUCAGGGCUGAGAAGAAAUCGUAAAGGUAUGCUUGGUGCGAGGGUCCUUUCUGCCCGAAGAAAUCUUAGCGCUGAAGUGAACUAACUGUAGGCGUCAAGUCCCAAUGCCAUUGUUUCCCAUCUGCAGCGGAGCCUCCUUUGAUUCCUCAGAUAAACACGGCAGCUGAGGGGGGAAGCUUGACAAGUUCUUCAAGCACCACUGGUUCAGAGAGCUCUGCAGCGGCAGGAAAGCCUGGGGAAAGGCGAUCCUGAACUUCCCGUUCAGGAGAGGUCGCCAGCGCCCGCGGAUUCCUUCCCCGCGCCCGAGUAUGCUCCGCGCCUCUGUGGUGCGUGUCUAAUGAAGCAGAGUUUGCAGAUGUCUCUUGCUUGAAAACCGAUGGGAUCCUUCCUGUUGCAGCCAGGGGUCAGAGCUAGAGGAAUGGGAGCUCUGCUAAUUCGGUUGUAUCGGGACGGAGGGCAAGGAGUAUUUUUAUUCAGACACGAUGGCUCCAGCAGUGCUUCGUUCCUGGGAAUUGCAGUUUCAUAUAGCAAUUUUAUGUGAACGUCUGUUUCUGCCUUGCUUGGGGUCUUUUGCCUCCGAAGGUGUAAGUCACCAAAAUCUUAAGGCAUUUGCAACACAAAUUGUACGAAGCCCACUUGCCUUUGC